ACAUGCAGUCGAGGGGCAUCAGGAAGAAAGCUUGCUUUCUUUGCUGGCGACCGGCGCACGGGUGAGUAACACGUAUCCAACCUGCCCUUUACUCGGGGAUAGCCUUUCGAAAGAAAGAUUAAUACCCGAUAGCAUAAUGAUUCCGCAUGGUUUCAUUAUUAAAGGAUUCCGGUAAAGGAUGGGGAUGCGUUCCAUUAGGUUGUUGGUGAGGUAACGGCUCACCAAGCCUUCGAUGGAUAGGGGUUCUGAGAGGAAGGUCCCCCACAUUGGAACUGAGACACGGUCCAAACUCCUACGGGAGGCAGCAGUGAGGAAUAUUGGUCAAUGGGCGCUAGCCUGAACCAGCCAAGUAGCGUGAAGGAUGAAGGCUCUAUGGGUCGUAAACUUCUUUUAUAUAAGAAUAAAGUGCAGUAUGUAUACUGUUUUGUAUGUAUUAUAUGAAUAAGGAUCGGCUAACUCCGUGCCAGCAGCCGCGGUAAUACGGAGGAUCCGAGCGUUAUCCGGAUUUAUUGGGUUUAAAGGGAGCGUAGGUGGACUGGUAAGUCAGUUGUGAAAGUUUGCGGCUCAACCGUAAAAUUGCAGUUGAUACUGUCAGUCUUGAGUACAGUAGAGGUGGGCGGAAUUCGUGGUGUAGCGGUGAAAUGCUUAGAUAUCACGAAGAACUCCGAUUGCGAAGGCAGCUCACUGGACUGCAACUGACACUGAUGCUCGAAAGUGUGGGUAUCAAACAGGAUUAGAUACCCUGGUAGUCCACACAGUAAACGAUGAAUACUCGCUGUUUGCGAUAUACAGUAAGCGGCCAAGCGAAAGCAUUAAGUAUUCCACCUGGGGAGUACGCCGGCAACGGUGAAACUCAAGGAAUUGACGGGGGCCCGCACAAGCGGAGGAACAUGUGGUU
rnacentral:rRNA from 1 species